GGGAGGAUUACACAUCGGCCGGCGCCUGAGGAAAGCCAAUCAGCAGCAUCCUAACGUGUUCUGCAGGCGUUGUGAGCUCCCGGGUGAGUCCUUCUCUUCCUCGCCUCGCCUCACUGUCAAUCACUCUCAGGAAUGUGUUGUUUGACUUUGUUUUGCGCUGAUUUUUUUCUCAAGUGUUGCCGCGUGGUGGUGUUGACUGUGUGUGCGUUCGUGUGUUGCGGUGGAGGGUGUGGUGGGUGGCUGGGUGAGUGAGAGGUGGACGAGGCUAUGUGUGUGUGUGUGUGUGUGUGUGUGUAUGUGUGUCCUUAUCCUCUCCGCCACCUCCACCUCCUCUUCUGUUCUGACACAGCCCCUCCACCUCCACCACCACCACCACUGCCGACCUUCCACUACCACUACCUUGUAUUCAUCCUUACAUUCAUUCACAGUGUACAGGUUUCUGCCGUUCACCCUGUCACCACCCUACCGCUGGCCCCUUCUUUACUGUCCUACCUUUCUCCUCACUCUCCUUCCUUUACUUUGUGUUUCACCUUCUCUUCGUCUCUUCUUACUCAUUUUUUCUCCUGCUCCUACACAGAUCCUCAAAACCACAACACUAUUUUUUUUUUAUUGUCACUACUACUACAACUAUUAAACCCCACAACGACCAUCACCAUUAAUGUUACCAUGCAUGAAUUAGCUUUUUUUUUUUUUUCCCUUAAUACUCCUUCUUAACUUCCUCUUCCCUCCUGUGACAUCUACUAUAAUCAUCACCCCCCCACCUUCAUAACUUCACCACCUGACCACACCAUCAUUACACGCAUACCUGUUAGUGUCACCAUGUAUUUCACCACAUUUACAUGCCAUUACCCCAUCACUACCAUUACAUAUAUCCCAGCACCACAAUUGUCAUCACAACUUCUCACCAUUUCCACCCCGCCUCCCACCCUUCUCUCAUGUCACCCCCACUGCCAUCAUCUCCACUACCACGUCACCAUUUCCAUCACCUCUAAACCUCUAAAACACCACCUCUCAUCGCCCCACCCAAAUCACCACCACCACCACCACCACCACCACCUCAACUCGCCCUUGUCGUCACUCGCUACCCCACCGCCUCUGUCUCCUCUUGAUCUCCUCCCUCUCCGUCUCCCACCCUUAGUCCUCACCUGAUUCACCCCCACCCCACCACCACCACCACCACCGCCACCACCACGCUCGUUGUCUCCUCCCUUGAUGGACGUGAAAGACGAGAAUAAAUACCGAUGGAGACAACAGUAAUGGCCUGAAGAAAAGGGGUGUGAUGGUGUCUGUAUCUCGACGCUCGGCCUUGAACCUGAGAGCGUUACAUCAAGUGUGCGUCGUUGCGUGAGGCACGGUGAGAAGACAAGACGAAGACGGUGCAGGGGACACGACACACCGGGGAAGGCAA